rnacentral:rRNA from 1 species
GACAUCCAGAGAAUUUAGCAGNGAUGCUUUAGUGCCUUCGGGAACUCUGAGACAGGUGCUGCAUGGCUGUCGUCAGCUCGUGUUGUGAAAUGUUGGUUAAGCCGCAACGAGCGCAACCCUUAUCCUUUGUUGCCAGCACGUAAUGGUGGGAACUCAAAGGAGACUGCCGGUGAUAAACCGGAGGAAGGUGGGGAUGACGUCAAGUCAUCAUGGCCCUUACGAGUAGGGCUACACACGUGCUACAAUGGCGUAUACAAAGAGAAGCGACCUCGCGAGAGCAAGCGGACCUCAUAAAGUGCGUCGUAGUCCGGAUUGGAGUCUGCAACUCGACUCCAUGAAGUCGGAAUCGCUAGUAAUCGUAAAUCAGAAUGUUACGGUGAAUACGUUCCCGGGCCUUGUACACACCGCCCGUCACACCAUGGGAGUGGGUUGCAAAAGAAGUAGAUAGCUUAACCUUCGGGAGGGCGUUUACCACUUUGUGAUUCAUGACUGGGGUGAAGUCGUAACAAGGUAAGCGUAGUGCU